rnacentral:rRNA from 1 species
UACGUAGGGGGCUAGCGUUGUCCGGAAUCAUUGGGCGUAAAGCGCGCGUAGGCGGCCUGGUAAGUCCGCUGUGAAAGUCAAAGGCUCAACCUUUGAAUGUCAGCGGAUACUGCCAGGCUAGAGUCCGGAAGAGGCGAGUGGAAUUCCUGGUGUAGCGGUGGAAUGCGCAGAUAUCAGGAGGAACACCAAUGGCGAAGGCAGCUCGCUGGGACGGUACUGACGCUGAGGUGCGAAGCGUGGGGAGCAAACAGG